CUGAAUAGGGCGCAUAAGUAACAGGUCGUAGACCCGAAACCAGGUGAUCUACCCAUGUCCAGGAUGAAGGUAAGGUAAUACUUACUGGAGGUCCGAACCCACGCACGUUGAAAAGUGCGGGGAUGAGGUGUGGGUAGCGGAGAAAUUCCAAUCGAACUUGGAGAUAGCUGGUUCUCUCCGAAAUAGCUUUAGGGCUAGCCUCGAGGUAAAGAGUCAUGGAGGUAGAGCACUGUUUGGACUAGGGGCCCUUCUCGGGUUACCGAAUUCAGAUAAACUCCGAAUGCCAUGUACUUAUACUCGGGAGUCAGACUGCGAGUGAUAAGAUCCGUAGUCGAAAGGGAAACAGCCCAGACCACCAGUUAAGGUCCCCAAAUAUAUGUUAAGUGGAAAAGGAUGUGGGGUUGCUUAGACAACCAGGAUGUUGGCUUAGAAGCAGCCACCAUUGAAAGAGUGCGUAAUAGCUCACUGGUCGAGUGACCCCGCGCCGAAAAUGUACCGGGGCUAAACAUAUUACCGAAACUGUGGAUGAACCUCUUUAGAGGUUCGUGGUAGGAGAGCGUUCUAAGGGCGGUGAAGUCAGACCGGAAGGACUGGUGGAGCGCUUAGAAGUGAGAAUGCCGGUAUGAGUAGCGAAAGAAGGGUGAGAAUCCCUUCCACCGAAUAUCUAAGGUUUCCUGAGGAAGGCUCGUCCGCUCAGGGUUAGUCGGGACCUAAGCCGAGGCCGAUAGGCGUAGGCGAUGGACAACAGGUAGAGAUUCCUGUACCAGUGCUAAUUGUUUAACCGAUGGGGUGACACAGAAGGAUAGGGAAUCGCACGAAUGGAAAUGUGCGUCCAAGCAGUGAGUGUGAGAAGUAGGCAAAUCCGCUUCUCGCGAAGCAUGAGCUGUGAUGGGGAAGGAAAUUAAGUACGGAAGUUCCU
rnacentral:rRNA from 1 species